UGGGCUUUUCUCUGUCUACACUAUAUAAGGG
rnacentral:piRNA from 1 species